GGUGGAGGUGGGAGAAGGGAGAAUGGGGUGGGGACUGCGGAGCCCUAGGAGAGGGCGCGGUGAUGCGGUUGCGUAGGUAGCUCAGUGUCACAGCUCCUCCUUGAAGCGCGCCUCUGAGACCAGGUUGGAGAUCUGGCUUGAGAAGUUCCCAAAAAGCAAAUAACCCUACUGUCCGGAAAAGCCAGGAGGCCGUGUGCCCCGAGGGGCGGGCCGAGACCGCCCUCCUCGAGCCCCCAGGCUGGUGGACCGGGCCUUGGGACACACCUUGCGCUUGGGUCUGCCCUGGCCAGGGCCGGAUCAGAUCCGUACUUUGGGGACAGCACCCCUCCCGCCACCCCCAAAUACACAUUCACAUACAGCGGGCUUCAGAGCUGCGCUCCUACCUUGAGAAGUGACUUUGGGUAUACCGUGCCUUCCAUGAGAGGAGGGACAGAGUAGUCUGGCUGUGAUUAGUAACAUUCAGCACAUACCUACUAGGAGCCAGCCCACUGCUAGGCCUGUAUGGACAUAAACAUUUAAUCCUCACAACCCACCUCACAGGUGGGCACAGUUGGUCUCCCCAUUUUUCAGAGUCAGAUUAGUGACUCAAGGUUACACAUCCUGUAAGCGGUGGGGCAGAUCUGAGUUCAAACCCAGACUGAACAUCCUUCUGUGGCAAAGGGGGGUGGGGUGGGGUGGAUGGGCUGGCUGCUCACUAAGUUCAUCCCAGUUGUGGCAUUCCGUGCCGAGGGUCCCUCAUACCAGGCCUGUGGCUGGGCGUUGGACAAACUAGGAAAAUUCCAAUGGCUAAAACACAGCCCCACUUAAGUACAAAUGCCAAGGGCAGCACGGUAGAGAGGACCUUAGGUUCUCUGAGAAUUUUAUUGCAUGCUCAGCAUAGGGGGAAGGAGUAACUAUAGAAUAAGUAAGAUACAUUCUCUUGUCUCAUAAGGUAGAUCUAAAUACGUGUAAGUACAGUUUAGCUGGACCCUGAGGAAGAUGAGAGUCAGGGAAAAGGUAUUAGGAGUGGGGUCCAGCAGACAAAGGCUUGGCAGCAAGGAUAGAAACAAAAUCAAAGAUGGUGAGAAGACAGGCCUGGCAGUGGGCAAUGAGGCUGGGCAAAAUAAGAUCAUGGAGUGUUUUAAAUGCCAGCCUGAUUAUUUGAGUCAUUAUCCUUAGGUAACUGGGAACCAGGAGAGAUGUGGAAGCCAUAUUUCAAGCCAAGAAUCUUACUCUGGGGAGUAAGAUGCAUUUGAAAGGAGAAGGGAGGGACGGAUUGGACCUUAGUUUUACCAUCUGGAAAUUGGACUCGAAGGACUGUCAAAUGCAUUGUAGAAUAGAAAUCCUGAAAUGCUCGAGAUGGCAGGACACUUAGAGUCACUGUUAUCCAACCCUUUAUCCCACAUAAGGAGAAACAGAGCUCUGAGGAGGAGAGGCUAGCCCCAGUUUGCACAGUGAAUGAGCAGAGAUGGGUCCUCCAUACCAGUUCUCCUGCCUCUGGGCCUUUUUCUCCCUGCUGUGAUUCUAAAAUGAGGACCUUGGUAUCCAUGAAACAGGAUUUGAAUGUGAAUUUGGAAGAAGGCCUCCCACCCCAGGUUCCACCAUGCUUUGAAGAGUCACCUUUGCUGACUACAAAUGGAAUUGAGGUUAACAAACCAGGCUGAUCUUUCCCCUGGUGGAUAUCUUUACAGAGCAUGGUAGAUAAUAAUUAAUUGUCCACCCCGCUCUCCAUGAAAAUGGGGUUCCAGUGAGAGGUGGGAGGAGGGCCAGCGCUGGGGGGAUUUCUAUGAUUCCUUCCAGCUCUUAGAGAAAUUAGAGCCUUUCUAGCUUUUCUGAUCAUGUUGGACUCAGACUGAUUUCAAAACAGUGAAAAUUAGGUAGACUAGAGCAUUCUACUUCUAAUUUAUAAAUGUCAAAUGGGAGACACUUUGGUUCUCCCAUGAAGCUUUUCUCUCCUUCUCACCAAAAAGUUCAGUGUCUCCACUUCCUCACCUCCCACCCACCUCUGAGCCCAGUGCACUCUGGCUCUGCCCCUAUUCCUUCACCUAGGCAGCUCUCAUUGUGGCCACUAGUGGCCCACUGUUGUCAAAUUCAAGGUCAUUUUAUAGUCCUCACCUUCCUGGCCCAUGUGACUGCUCUGCGCACAACUGCUCAUCCCUCCUAGACAGGCUCUCUUCUAAGGUUCCAUGACCCUGCAUCCUCCUGGCUUCGCUCUGCUGCUCUGCUGCUCUGCUGCUCCUCUUCUCUGGUCUGCUGUAUGAGCUUGUCUUCUUGGCCUACCCUGAAAUAUUGGGGUACUACAGGACUCUGCCCCAGGCCCUCUGUUCUUCUUACUCUGUCCUAUCCUGGGCAACCUCAUCCAUGCCAGCUCUUGAGGGAACAUAUGCCACAUUCCCAGCUCUGGCUAAGGAGCUUUGCAGGAAUGGGUAUAUUUUUUUCUCCUCAAGAUUCCCCUGUAAAGUAGGUACAAUUUCCAUCCCCAUCUUACAGAUGAGGAAACUGGCUCAAAAAUGUCCCAGGAUUAAAAAAAAAAAAAAAAAAAAGUUCCAGGAUUUGAAUAGUCCACAGCUGGUAAUCAGUGGAGUCAGGAUUUGAACUCAGGUCUGUCAGACUCCCAAACCUGAUGGCCCAACACUUCCCUGUGGGUGUCAGCUGAAAAGGGCUCAAGGUGUGACUCCCUUUCAGGGUCAUUCUGCUUGUAAAAAGUACACAUAAACCUUGCUACCUGUAGGCUACACUCUGACCAGCACCCAUCUUCACCCUUUGGAAAGGGCUGCCAACUCCCAUAGCCUCAUAAAUAAAGCCCAGGGCAACCGCCUUGGACAGGACAUCUACUCCCAGAGCUCUAAGUCCCAUCAAUAAAUGUCACCUUUGAACAACUCCAAAGAGAGUCCCUGAACCAGGUAAAGGGGACUAAUGAUUAAGGCCAAACACACUGGUUGCCCAGAGAUCAGAGCAAAUCCUCAGUGCAAGGGCCAGGUCUGCUGCAUCCACAUCUGGUACAGGGUCUCACUCAGACCAGACUGUCCCUGGCUACCUGAGGACAUGUGAGUGCUGUGAUGAAGAAGAAGGAUCUGGACUUAGUUUCAAAUUCUACUCUAUCAGUUACUAGCUGAGUACCACUGGGCAAUGGCUAAUCAUUGGGCCCAGGACUAAUCACACCUAUUUCUUAGGGUUGCGGAUCAGCAAGAGUUCGUAUGUUUCUCACCUUCACAAGGCCAACACACGGGAGGCACCAGCCAUCACAACCAUACAAUAAAUAAUUCCUUCCUGCAUCCCAGCCUGAGCCAGGGCUCUGAAGGUCCAGGAUAUUUCACCAUGGGAGGUUCGGCAAACAACGGCAUGGCAACUCAAGAGGAUAAAACAGGGAUGCUUCAGAGGAUCAGUGUUUGGAUCCCAUGUCAAAACGUGGAGUGGAAGAGGGUAACAAGGAGCUACUCCAUAGCAGGGCACAGGGCAGUGUUUGCCAGCACACUUCCACGUGGUUAAGCUGGGAAGUCUCAUGAUGCAAGGACCUUGUCAGGAUUACAGCUGUAUCCCCGGAGCCUAGCGCUGUGCUUGGCAUACAACAGGUGCUCAAUCAAUACUUGCCAAAUGACUGAAUGCAUCCUGUCAGUAUCAGGAUGCCACCCAGGCCCUGAGGGAGCCAGGGCAUGGGAGGAAAACGUUUGGACUCCUGCCAUGCCUUACAUUAGCAGCAUCUUCUCUGAGCCCUGACAGCCAGCCCCCUGGGACGCCAUUUGAGCCAGCUGAAUUCCGGUCACUGUUUCACCUUGGAAAGGCAACCGCAGCCCUCACCAAGCAGCCCAGUAACUGACGUCACAGCAGUGCCAGGAGCUGCCCUGUUAAUAUUUAAUGUAGACUCCACUGCGGCAGAGCUGCAGGCUAGAAGAGCUGGAGGGGGCUGUGCACCGUCUCCAUGGGGUCGUGAGGAGGGCACAGAUGGAAAACGGCUUCAUAAACCGGAAAGCCCCCAGCAGAUGAGCAUUACACUGGCCUGUUUUAGUCCCUGGCUUAACUCAGAAAGAGCCAGAACAGCAUGUGCCUGCAGUAGGACAAGGAGACUGCUGACUGAGCCCAAGUGAUAAAUAUAUGUGGGAUUAGGGGCUCCGAGGGAGAUUUCCUGGAGACUGUGGGAGGGUGAGCACUGGCGCCAGCCAGACCUGGACUCUACUCCAGGUUUGCACAGUGCAGCUGUGCGACAGGGUAGCAACUGUACCACUGAGCCUCAGUUCUCUGAUCUGUGAGAUGGGCAUAAUACCUUCCUUGAGGGGCUGUUGUGAGGAUUAAAUAAAACAAGUGAUGGAGAGGACCCAGCUCAGUACUUACUAGGACCUUGGUAAAUGCUUCGCCAAACCUCAGGAGCCUGAGGUUAGAGACAGGAGAUGUGAAAAGUGCUUCAUGCAUUCACUGGCCAGGAACAGGAAGAGAGGGGCCCUUGUGGACCAUCUCUUCUGAUCAUCUGACCCCUUCAUUAGACAGACAAGGAUGCUGAGGGCCCAGGAGGGGACAGAGGCUCACACAGCAGAGCUGAGGUCUGACCUGAUCUGCAGUUGCCUGCCAGCCUUCCCCACCAGUGAUGAUGAUGAGAUGCCCCCAUUGAUGAUGGAUGCCUCUGCCUCUCUGACCUGGACAAAGCAGGACCCUCAUCCUCCACCCCUUCCUUGUCUCCCUCUGGUAUGUUUCCCCACAAAUCCUGGCAGCUUCCCAAAAUGUAAAUCCGAACCAAGGCAGCCCCUGCUUAAACCCCUUCUGUGGUCUCACAUUUAGCACUGGCCAGAGAAAAUACAGGAGGCCCAGUUAAAACUGAAUUUCAUAUAAAGAACAAAUGAUUCUUCAGUAUAAGAAUGUUCCAGGGACGCCUGGGUAGCUCCGUCAGUUGAGCGUCUGACUUCAGCUCAGAUCAUUAUCUCACGGUUUGUGAGUUCAAGUCCCAUGUUGGACUCUGUGCUGAGAGCUCAGAGCCUGGAGCCUGUUUUAAGUUUUGUGUCUCCCUCUCUCUCUGUCCCUCCCCAGCUCGUGCUCUCCCUCUCUCUCAAAAAUAAAUAAACAUUAAAAAAAUUUUUUAAAAGAAUGUUCCAAAUAAUGCAUGCAUUAUUACACUAAAAAGUUAUUCAUUGUUUAUCUGAAAUUCCAAGUUAACCAUUCAACCUGUAUUUUUAUUUGCUAAAUCUGGCAAUCCUACACAAACAGCCUUUAGGAAAAAGGUCAGAGGUCCAUUUUAGCCCAGACCUCCUCCUUUGCCUCUCUUCCACAGAACUCUCUGCUUCAGACACAACUUGUUGCCUUUUCUGGAGAAUCCCAAGCUCUCCCUCCCGCUGGCCUUUGCAGAUGCUAUAGUUCCACUGGGAACUUCUUGGUAAGGUACCUCUUCCUCCUGUACUGCCCCACUUGUGCUUGGCCUGACCCAUCCUAAAGCUUCUGAAGCAUUGCUUUUCUCCUGGAAGGCUCCCUGGCUCUCCAAGCUUGGAUGAUGCCUCCUCUAGGUUCUCACUGGACCUUGGGGAGGUCCUCUGCCUGUCUUGUUCACUUGGUACAGAACGGAAGUUCAGCAAACAUUUAUUGCAUUGAAUUGCUAAAUUCUACAGCCCCUUGCAUCUCCACUAUCAAUAGUUUCCCUCCUUCAGCCGAAUCCGACAUGCCUUCCAAGGCCCUGCUGGAAUCCUACCUCCUCUGGGCCUUCCCCAGGGCCCAAUCCUGCCAGUUCAGUCAUCAUCCAUCGCAACAAGCAAUCUUUUCAACCCAUAAGCUCAGCAAGAUCAGCACCCCUCAGGCUCUCCUAUGACCUGCAGUGCCCAGCACUGUGCCUUCCUGCCAGAUAGUGAUCAAAAAAUGCCAGUGAAUUUGGAGGAUGCUAAACCAAGCUCCUGUGUUUAAUUCUACUACAAGUCAGAGAUUAACCAAAAUCCUAACCUUGCCGUGAAAUAUCUUUCAGGGCAUCUUUAGUUCCCACCUGACAGAACAGCAAACAGAGGGAAUGGAGGAACCCAAUUGUUUCUGGUUCAGUUGUCUUGAUUCCAUUCUACCUCAGGGCCUUUGUACCUGCUCUUCCCUCUGUCCAAAGCACUCUUCCCAAAGAUCUUCACUUGGAUGAUGUAGCAAAUUAAAGAUGGCCACAAAUCCUUUGUGUCUUGCCCCUUCAAGAGGUGGCAAGUCUCUCCCCACCCCUUGAAUCUAGGCUGGCCUUGUGACUUGCUUGGACAACAGAAUGUGGCAGAAGUGACCCUUUAGGAGUUCGGAGCCUAGACCUAAAUAGGCCAUGCAGCUUUUGUCGCCACCCUCUUAGAAUGCUGCCCCUAGAUCACCAUGUAAGGCAGCUGAUCUUGCGAACUGCAGGAUGAGAGGCUGGGUGAUGGGUAGCUGAGUUCCCCAACCAAUAGCCAGCACCAACUACUAGAUGACUGAGAAGCCUUCUUGGACCUUCCAGCCCACUUGUGUCUCCAGCUACAUGCUAGAGAAAUGGGCAGAGGAACCACCCAGGCCAACCACAGACUCAUGAGAAAUAAUAAAUGGCUGUUGUAAAUCACAAAGUUUUGGGGUUUGUUAUCCAGUUUGGGUUUAUUACAUGGACAUCAAUAACUGAUAUAGCUGCUCCCUCUUCAGUUAUCUGCUCAGAUGUCACCUCCUCAGAGAGUCCUUUCCUGGCCAUUCCGGCUAAAACAGCAUACUCCCCACCAAUCGCUCUCUAUCUCAUUAUCCUGUUUCAUCCUGUCCUAGGCAUGUAUUACUAACUGAAAUCCUGAUGUACUUAUCCAUGGGUUUAUUGUCCAUCUCCUCCACUAGGCAGCAGGUCCCAUGAGGCCAGGGGCCAUAAUGGUCUGUUCCCUGCCAUCUCCCUUGCACCCGCGUGAGGUCUGGCACAGGGAAGAUGCCACACGUUGUUGGUGGUGGUGAAAUCGUGUGCUUGCCCCUUGCUGGUAUGGCAUUUAGUGGGGCAGAAUGACAGGCAUGAGCUCCCACCUUGCCGUAUCCUCCAAAACCCAUGCUCUUGGGAGGGCAGGA